GAUCCUUGUAAAAAUUGGCAGUACAAUUGUGGUAAAUUAUGAAAAUCUGAGAAAUUUUUGGGGGUCAUAUUGACGGGGGCAUUAAUGAAGAAAAAAAAUUGGCUGAUGAGGGACGUUUUGUUCCUAGAGUUAUUAGGAUAAUGAGGGAUUAUGGUUGGAUGCCAAUCAUUAGGCAAUCAUAUGCCAAUGAUUGGCAAUGGUGGUAAUAUAUAAAAAAAAAAGGCAGGUUGCAGAAUGGUUUAAGGAAAGAAUGGUCACAUUCCAAUAUUUUAUUUAUCGAUGGGUGGGAAUCAGUUCUUAUGGUAUCCAUUUACAAAAUUAAGAUACUAGUUUUUAAUAGAUUGAGAUGGAUAAUUAAUUAUUAGGGGUAUAUUAUAUGAUUCAACCUUGUUGGAGGGAUUAAAGUUAAAUUCUUGACUUGAAAUUUAGCAAAUAUGAUAAAUUUGGCAUACAAAUUUUAUCAAGGUUUGGAGCUAGAUUGGAAAUAUGAGUGAGUUUUAGGGUUUAUGAUAGACAUAUAAUGAUUUGAUACAACUCGCUUACUUACGAAUAUUGCAUCAUUGGUAGAUCGUGAACGUUCCGAAAUUUUGCAAAAAGGGAAGGAACUAGUUUGAGGAUUCGUGGCACGAGUUCGGCACUUGAGAUUCGAUUCCAAGUAGGAGCACAUCUCGAGGAGCAGUUUGAGUCCGAGUUUGGAGUGUCUUGGAGUUGUGGUGAGCUGCUUGGCUGUUCCGUGGCCCACACCUCCCUCUAUCUUUUACUUAUUCUGUUAUUCAGUAUUCAGACAGGAUAUUCCUUAUGUUAGAUUUGCCUUUUUAGUUUCAGACUUGCAUCGUAUUUUAGAAGCUCUUGUACUCAUGACACCAUUUCUUGGGUAGUACUUUUUUUUCAGUUUUCCGCAUUCGUACUUAUAAGAACUCAGUGUUGGAGAUUUGGAAAUUUUUGUCUUUUCACUUCUUUAUUAGUUAAGUUUGUUAAAAUGUGUUGGUUGGCUUACCUAUUGGCUGGGAAUAUAGGUGCCAUCACAACUCGUGAUUUUGGGUCGUGACAAACAUGUUGCAUGAGACAUGUGUUGAAAGGGAAAUUGUUGGCUAAUGUAACAUCUUGACUAUAGCAAGUACCCAUGAGGGGCAUGAUAUGGUCUAGGUCGAAACAAAUAAUAACUAUAUUUUCAUA